rnacentral:tRNA from 1 species
GGGCCUGUGGUCUAACGGGAUGACGCGGGUAUGGCAUACCUGCAGUCCGGGUUCGAUUCCCGGCUGGUCCA